CGGACGCGAACCAAGUGGAUCAAGGCAGUGGAUUGUGAAU
rnacentral:tRNA from 1 species